rnacentral:rRNA from 1 species
GACGAACGCUGGCGGCGUGCUUAACACAUGCAAGUCGAACGCUGAAGACCUGGCUUUUGUUGGGUUGGAUGAGUGGCGAACGGGUGAGUAACACGUGAGUAACCUGCCCUCUUCUUUGGGAUAACGCCCGGAAACGGGUGCUAAUACUGGAUAUUCACUGGCCUUCGCAUGGGGGUUGGUGGAAAGGUUUGUUCUGGUGGGGGAUGGGCUCGCGGCCUAUCAGCUUGUUGGUGGGGUGAUGGCCUAUCAAGGCUUUGACGGGUAGCCGGCCUGAGAGGGUGACCGGUCACAUUGGGACUGAGAUACGGCCCAGACUCCUACGGGAGGCAGCAGUGGGGAAUAUUGCACAAUGGGCGAAAGCCUGAUGCAGCGACGCCGCGUGAGGGAUGGAGGCCUUCGGGUUGUAAACCUCUUUCGCUCAUGGUCAAGCCGCAACUGUGGGUUGUGGUGAGGGUAGUGGGUAAAGAAGCGCCGGCUAACUACGUG